rnacentral:rRNA from 1 species
UACAGAGGUGGCAAGCGUUGUUCGGAAUUACUGGGCGUAAAGCGUGCGCAGGCGGUUAUGCAAGACAGAGGUGAAAUCCCCGGGCUCAACCUGGGAACUGCCUUUGUGACUGCAUAGCUAGAGUACGGUAGAGGGGGAUGGAAUUCCGCGUGUAGCAGUGAAAUGCGUAGAUAUGCGGAGGAACACCGAUGGCGAAGGCAAUCCCCUGGACCUGUACUGACGCUCAUGCACGAAAGCGUGGGGAGCAAACAGG